CUACGUGCCAGCAGCCGCGGUAAUACGUAGGGUGCGAGCGUUAAUCGGAAUUACUGGGCGUAAAGCGAGCGCAGACGGUUACUUAAGCAGGAUGUGAAAUCCCCGGGCUCAACCUGGGAACUGCGUUCUGAACUGGGUGACUAGAGUGUGUCAGAGGGAGGUAGAAUUCCACGUGUAGCAGUGAAAUGCGUAGAGAUGUGGAGGAAUACCGAAGGCGAAGGCAGCCCCUUGGGAAUGUACUGACGCUCAUGUGCGAAAGCGUGGGGAGCAAACAGGAUUAGAUACCCUGGUAGUCCACGCUGUAAACGAUGUCGAUUUGGGGGUUGAGCUUUAAGCUUGGCGCCCGUAGCUAACGUGAUAAAUCGACCGCCUGGGGAGUACGGCCGCAAGGUUAAAACUCAAAUGAAUUGACGGGGGCCCGCACAAGCGGUGGAGCAUGUGGUUUAAUUCGAUGCAACGCGAAGAACCUUACCUACUCUUGACAUCCAGAGAACAUUC
rnacentral:rRNA from 1 species